rnacentral:rRNA from 1 species
UACGUAGGGUGCAAGCGUUAAUCGGAAUUACUGGGCGUAAAGCGUGCGCAGGCGGUUAUGUAAGACAGGUGUGAAAUCCCCGGGCUUAACCUGGGAACUGCAUUUGUGACUGCAUAGCUAGAGUACGGUAGAGGGGGAUGGGAAUUCCGCGUGUAGCAGUGAAAUGCGUAGAUAUGACGGAGGAACACCGAUGGCGAAGGCAAUCCCCUGGACCUGUACUGACGCUCAUGCACGAAAGCGUGGGAGCAAACAGG